rnacentral:SRP_RNA from 1 species
ACCAGGUGCGGUGGUAUGUGCCUGUAGUCCCAGCUACUUGGGAGGCUGAGGCGGGAGGUUCGCUUGAGCCCAGGAGUUCUGGGCUGUAGUGCGAUCAGGUGUCUGCACUAAGUUCAGCAUCAAUAUGGUGACCUCCUGGGAGCGGGGGACGGUUGCCUAAGGAGGGGCGAACUGGCCCAGGUUGGAAACAGAACAGGUCAAAACUCCCGCUGAUCAGUAGUGGGAUUGUGCCUAUGAAUAGCCACUGCACUCCAGCCUGGGCAACACUGCGAGAUCCCGUCUCU